CAAGUCGAAGCGGAUGAGAGAGCUUGCUCUCUGAUUCAGCGGCGGACGGGUGAGUAAUGCCUAGGAAUCUGCCUGGUAGUGGGGGACAACGUUUCGAAAGGAACGCUAAUACCGCAUACGUCCUACGGGAGAAAGCAGGGGACCUUCGGGCCUUGCGCUAUCAGAUGAGCCUAGGCGGGUUAUUUUGGGGGGGGGGGGUUCUCGCACCCCCCAAAGUCUAUUUUUAUGGCUGAAGGUGAAAGGAUGAUCAGUCACACUGGAACUGAGACACGGUCCAGACUCCUACGGGAGGCAGCAGUGGGGAAUUUUGGACAAUGGGCGCAAGCCUGAUCCAGCAAUGCCGCGUGCAGGAUGAAGGCCUUCGGGUUGUAAACUGCUUUUGUACGGAGCGAAACGGCUCUUUCUAAUAAAGAGAGCUAAUGACGGUACCGUAAGAAUAAGCACCGGCUAACUACGUGCCAGCAGCCGCGG
rnacentral:rRNA from 1 species